GGAUAUUAUGCCGCCAUGAAAUUGAACGCAUCCAUGACAACUGAAAGCAGAAGCAAAUUGGACUGCGUUGUUUAGCGCUACGCGCGCUGUGCUUUCCUCGUGGCUACUAGGCAUGAUUGAACAACGCCACAACAUAUCCAGUAAAAUGACCCCACUGUAUACAAUCAGACUGUUAGUGGUUCUCGAGGCAAUCUUCUGGUUCUAUGUAAUAGAGGCUGUGCCAAGAAGUUCGCGGUGCCUUCGACCUCCUUCAAUAGAAGGAUGCGACAACUUGCUGCUGCAGUGGAGCUUUAUACCAAGCGCUAACCAGUGUGAGCAGGACUUUUCCUGUUAUCAGCAGCCGAACAGCUUUCGCACUAGAGAAGAAUGCGAGAUAACGUGUCGACGAGUUUCUGCACCAACGCCGCCUAUCAGGAUUCUCGGCUGCCGCUAUUGGCUUCUUCAUAUGUCGCUCUGCAAGAAAAGUUGGGCGUCUUCCCGUCGGGACUUUCUCGGAAAAACCCACGAUCUCAUGGUCUUCACUGGCUGUGGUUACUCGAAAAGUACAGUUUACGUCUACGAUCUCCUCUCUAAAAAAUGCCGAGUGAAGCCUUGGUGGUGGAAGAUGCCUCCAGAGAAAAAACCAGUGCAUGGCGACGCAAUCAGUCCCGUUAUUCUUCCUGUAGUAACUAUUUUCGAAUCAUUUGGUGAACGCAGGGCACCUUUCAUGACUACGGACCAUUACUACUGAAAAUAAACAAUUCUUUAGACCUG